rnacentral:rRNA from 1 species
AGUCGAACGGAGAAUAUUCGGUAGCAAUAUUGAGUAUUCUUAGUGGCGAAAGGGUGCGUAACACGUGGGUAAUCUGCCGUAAAGUUAGGAAUAACUUCGAGAAAUCGAUGCUAAUACCGAAUGUGAUAAAACAGGGACAUCCCCAUUUUAUUAAAGCCGGGGACCUUCGGGCCUGGCGCUUUACGAUGAGCCCGCGCCCUAUCAGCUUGUUGGUGAGGUAAAAGCUCACCAAGGCUAAGACGGGUAGCCGGUCUGAGAGGAUGGUCGGCCACACUGGAACUGAGACACGGUCCAGACAACUACGGUUGGCAGCAGUCGAGAAUCAUUCACAAUGGGGGCAACCCUGAUGGUGCGACGCCGCGUGGGGGAUGAAGGUCUUCGGAUUGUAAACCCCUGUCAUUUGUGAACAAACCUUUUAGCUUAAUAGGCUAAAAGCUGAUAGUAGCAAAAGAGGAAGGGACGGCUAACUCCGUGCCAGCAGCCGCGGUAAUACGGAGGUCCCAAGCGUUGUUCGGAUUUACUGGGCGUAAAGGGUGCGUAGGUGGCUAGGAAAGUCUGAUGUGAAAGCUCCGAGCUCAACUCGGAAAAUGCAUUGGAUACUACUUGGCUUGAGGAUCGGAGGGGAGACUGGAAUUCUUGGUGUAGCAGUGAAAUGCGUAGAUAUCAAGAGGAACACCAGUGGCGAAGGCGAGUCUCUGGACGAUUCCUGACACUGAGGCACGAAAGCUAGGGGAGCAAACAGGAUUAGAUACCCUGGUAGUCCUAGCCGUAAACGGUGCACACUUGCUGUAGGCGGAUUCGACCCCGUCUGUGGCGGAGCAAACGCGUUAAGUGUGCCGCCUGGGGAGUACGGUCGCAAGAUUAAAACUCAAAGAAAUUGACGGGGGCCUGCACAAGCGGUGGAGUAUGUGGCUUAAUUCGAUGCAACGCGAAGA